rnacentral:tRNA from 1 species
GGCAGCAUGGUGUAGUGGUUUGAGUGUUGGACUACCACUCUGGAGACCUGGGUUUGAUUCUCCAUUCUGCCA